rnacentral:tRNA from 1 species
CAUUAUAGAAGCUAAACAGGUAGCACUAGCCUUUUAAGCUAGAGAAGGGAAACGCCCGCCUCCCCUUAAUGA